UAGAAGACAAAUUCAUUUAAACAAUUCCGUGAGUGUGAAAAAAACACGUGCUGAUACUUUAUUUAUUUAUUUAUCAUUAUCAUACGAUUCAGGGGACAAGACAACUGUGACCUCUUGUCAAAAAAAAAAAAGACAACUGUGACCUGAAAACAUACCACACCACACUUGUCAAUUGUCAAUGUCAUGUAAUCAUUCAUUUUUCAAAUUAAUGUAUUGUACUAUACAGAUUGCAC
rnacentral:lncRNA from 1 species